AUUCGGAAAAUAUAUACACAUCCUUUUCUCUUCGAUCUCUCUCAAUUCACAAGAAGCAAAAUGACGGAUACAGCUAGAACCCAUCACGAUAUCACAAGUCGAGAUCAGUAUCCCCGAGACCGAGACCAGUAUUCUAUGAUCGGUCGAGACCGUGACCAGUACUCUAUGAUGGGCCGAGACCGAGACCAGUACAACAUGUAUGGUCGAGACUACUCCAAGUCUAGACAGAUUGCUAAGGCUGUUACCGCAGUCACGGCCGGUGGGUCCCUCCUUGUCCUCUCCAGUCUCACCCUUGUCGGUACUGUCAUUGCUUUGACUGUUGCCACUCCUCUGCUUGUUAUCUUCAGCCCAAUCCUUGUCCCCGCUCUUAUCACCGUGGCAAUGCUCAUCACCGGCUUUCUCUCCUCCGGUGGCUUUGGCAUUGCAGCUAUAACCGUCUUCUCUUGGAUCUAUAAGUAUGCAACGGGAGAGCACCCACAAGGGUCAGAUAAACUGGACAGUGCAAGGAUGAAGCUGGGAAGCAAAGCUCAGGAUUUGAAGGAUAGAGCUCAGUACUAUGGACAACAGCACACAGGUGGCUAUGGACAACAGCACACAGGUGGGGAACACGACCGUGACCGCACCCGUGGAACCCAGCACACUACCUAAAUUACGGCAUAACUAUUUUCAUAGUCCAAUAAGGCUGAUGUCGGGAGUCCAGUUUAUGAGCAAUAAGGUGUUUAGAAUUUGAUCAAUGUUUAUAAUAAAAGGGGGAAGAUGAUAUCAAAGUCUUUUUUUUUUUUUUUUUGGUUUUUU